UACGGGGGGGGCAAGCGUUGUUCGGAAUUACUGGGCGUAAAGGGCCAGUAGGCGGCCAACUAAGUCGGAUGUGAAAUCCCCAGGCUCAACUUGGAAACUGCAUCCGAUACUGGAUGGCUUGAAUUCGGGAGAGGGAUGCAGAAUUCCAGGUGUAGCGGUGAAAUGCGUAGAUAUCGAGAGGAACACCUGCGGCGAAGGCGGGUUGCUGGGCUGACACUGACGCUGAUGCGCGAAAGCCAGGGGAGCGAACGGG
rnacentral:rRNA from 1 species